UACGGAGGGUGCAAGCGUUAUCCGGAUUCACUGGGUUUAAAGGGUGCGUAGGUGGGCAAGUAAGUCAGUGGUGAAAUCUCCGGGCUUAACCCGGAAACUGCCAUUGAUACUAUUUGUCUUGAAUACUGUGGAGGUCAGCGGAAUAUGUCAUGUAGCGGUGAAAUGCUUAGAUAUGACAUAGAACACCAAUUGCGAAGGCAGCUGGCUACACAUAUAUUGACACUGAUGCACGAAAGCGUGGGGAUCAAACAGG
rnacentral:rRNA from 1 species